rnacentral:rRNA from 1 species
UGGUGCCUUCGGGAACUCUGACACAGGUGCUGCAUGGCUGUCGUCAGCUCGUGUCGUGAGAUGUUGGGUUAAGUCCCGUAACGAGCGCAACCCUUGUCCUUAGUUACCAGCACGUUAUGGUGGGCACUCUAGGAGACUGCCGGUGACAAACCGGAGGAAGGUGGGGAUGACGUCAAGUCAUCAUGGCCCUCACGGCCUGGGCUACACACGUGCUACAAUGGUCGGUACAAAGGGUUGCCAAGCCGCGAGGUGGAGCUAAUCCCAUAAACCGAUCGUAGUCCGGAUCGCAGUCUGCAACUCGACUGCGUGAAGUCGGAAUCGCUAGUAAUCGUGAAUCAGAAUGUCACGGUGAAUACGUUCCCGGGCCUU